ACUUCCAAAAAUUCUCUUCACCCCCCACUACCCAGAUACCAAUCAAUUCAGGGUUAAGAGUAUUAUUUUUUUUAUUAUAAUCUUUCAGAGAAAACCAAGGCAAUGUCAGUAUUUCAGGGAGACAAGAUUUCAUCGCACAAUUCAAACAGGAGAGUAGAGUCAGCAGCCACCAUGUCCAGACGAUGUGACCAAGCAUCAACAGCUGUUGACACAGCAAAAACUAAGUCCUGAAAAUCAAAAAGGGACACGUCUUAGACCUCAGAAUAACCCAGGCUAGCCUAACAACGUCACUAUGGACAGCACCGAGACAGGCAUACCUGUAGACAACUCUUAAGUACUCUUAAGUACCUGGUAGUCACAGAUCACACAGAAGUGAGGUAAGCCAUGGAGAAAGCAGCAAACCGCAUUCCUCCCGACCACAAGCCAAACCCAUUACACUCCACCCAAGUUGCCCUUAGUAGUCAGGGCCUGUUUUAUUACAGCAAUAGAAAGUGAACUGCAACACUCACCACCACAGCAAGGAGAAAGUGCUUGCUCUCCACCAGAGACUGGCAUGACUGGGCAGGCAGUCACACCAUCCUGGGUCACGUCUAAGAGCAGAUUCCACCUUAGGCUGGGUUCCUCAGGUCAGGCCACAAUCUAGGUUUUCAGAGCUCACUCUAGAGAUGAAAACAGGAUUAUCAGUGACAGCAGCAGGUACCAGCGACGUACCUCAGUAAAGCCAGAACAUACACAGCUUCUGGAAUACCGGAUUCCAUGCCAAGGAAGUGUAGGUAGUACACCCAGAAUAAAGAUUCAGGCUCCUCAAGUGAGUCAGAUUUAUAGUUGACAUCAGAACCAGCGUCAGAGACUCUAGUCUGUGAAAUCAUCACUCCCAAUUGAGGGAGACCCGAACCAGAGGCAGUAGGGAAGAAUAUAGCAAAAGGCCAGGGAACACUAUAGUCUGAGAAUCCAGCAAGAGGACUGAGAACUGGCUCAGCGAUUAAGAGCACUGGGGUUAUACUCUCAGGAUCCACAUGGCAAUUUGCAACCGCCUGUAAUUCCAGUUACAAGGGACCUGACGCCCUUACAGACAAGCGAGCACACAGCAUUUUAAAAAGCUCAACAAAUGAAAGCAAAUGUCAAUGCCCAUGAAGCCGCCGUGAGGUACCAACCUUUCUGCAGCAGCAAGCGGCCGGUGGGUGUCCUCCAACCCCUAAGGGGAAGCAAAGACACACAAGGAAAUCACUCAGCACUCCAGGCCACCAAAGCGCAGACCCCACAGUGCUGCACACCCCGCUCCCGGGGGCGGGCGGUCAGCGCGCUGCGGUGAUGGCGUCAGCGAGACACUCAGAAUCACCAGAGGUCAUCAUCGCCGCCGCCCCCGAGGCCGGCCCCUCCACAUCCCGCCCCGGGGCUCCUGCCACCUACCAUGGUGCGGCCGGGGCCUGCGCGCGAGGACGAGCAGCCUGGGGAGAGAACAGGGCGAGCAGUGAGCAGGCGUGCGCCAGACCCGGGCCGGCCGGGCCCCCUCCUCCCCCGGGCCGGGUCAGUUCCAAGAGUGGCGUCACGGGGACAUCGGAAACUCUAGUCUGUAAUGCGGUCAUCCUGCCCGGCCCUCCCCGCCGCGCCCUCCCCACGGGGCCCCGGGGUACCUGCUACACGAGGCCGGCGCGCGGGGGCCACGACCGCCGCAGAGCGCAGAGCGAGCAUCGCCGCCAGCGCGCACAAAGAGACACGUGGCCGCCCGCCUGCGCGCUUUAUAGCGGCGCCCGGCCGGGGUCCUGACGCGCACAGUCGUCUGCGGCUGUGCCUGACCCGCUCGCGCUGGCGAAUGCGGGGGAGCAAAGCGGAAUUGUGUCGCUCACUCUCCUGGGUGGAGAGUCUUGCGUGCCUCGUGAAUCCUGCUGAUGAAUUUCC
rnacentral:lncRNA from 1 species